rnacentral:rRNA from 1 species
UGAGUAACACGUAUCCAACCUGCCGUCUACUCUUGGACAGCCUUCUGAAAGGAAGAUUAAUACAAGAUGGCAUCAUGAGUCCACAUGUUCACAUGAUUAAAGGUAUUCCGGUAGACGAUGGGGAUGCGUUCCAUUAGAUAGUAGGCGGGGUAACGGCCCACCUAAUCUACGAUGGAUAGGGGUUCUGAGAGGAAGGUCCCCCACAUUGGAACUGAGACACGGUCCAA